rnacentral:rRNA from 2 species
UACGUAGGGGGCAAGCGUUAUCCGGAUUUACUGGGUGUAAAGGGAGCGUAGGCGGCCAUGCAAGUCAGAAGUGAAAGCCCGGGGCUCAACCCCGGGACUGCUUUUGAAACUGUAAGGCUAGAUUGCCGGAGAGGUAAGCGGAAUUCCUAGUGUAGCGGUGAAAUGCGUAGAUAUUAGGAGGAACACCAGUGGCGAAGGCGGCUUACUGGACGGUGAAUGACGCUGAGGCUCGAAAGCGUGGGGAGCAAACAGG